GGACUGGUGGCGCAACGGUAGCGCGUCGGAUUCCAGAGAUGGAAUCACCCGAAGGUUGCUGGUUCAAAUCCGGUCCGGUUCA